CCUACGGGAGGCAGCAGUGAGGAAUAUUGGUCAAUGGGCGAGAGCCUGAACCAGCCAAGUCGCGUGAGGGAGUACUGCCCUAUGGGUUGUAAACCUCUUUUGUCGGGGAGCAAAAGCCGGACGUGUCCGGCUGUGAGAGUACCCGAAGAAAAAGCAUCGGCUAACUCCGUGCCAGCAGCCGCGGUAAUACGGAGGAUGCGAGCGUUAUCCGGAUUUAUUGGGUUUAAAGGGUGCGCAGGCGGAUUUUUAAGUCAGCGGUAAAAUCGUGGGGCUCAACCCCAUCCAGCCGUUGAAACUGGGGAUCUAGAGUGUGCGAGAGGUAUGCGGAAUGCGUGGUGUAGCGGUGAAAUGCAUAGAUAUCACGCAGAACCCCGAUUGCGAAGGCAGCAUACCGGUGCACAACUGACGCUCAGGCACGAAAGCGUGGGUAUCGAACAGGAUUAGAGACCCUUGUAGUC
rnacentral:rRNA from 1 species